ensembl:rRNA 5S_rRNA 5S ribosomal RNA
UUGGGUUGGCCAUAUCACCCUGCAGCCCAAGACCAGUUACUCAUUGAAGCUAAGCUGGGCUGAGCCUGGUCAGUACCUGGAUGGGACACCACAUGGGAAAAUUAGGUUGCUGCUGGAA